UACAGAGGUCCCAAGCGUUGUUCGGAUUUACUGGGCGUAAAGGGUGCGUAGGCGGCAAGGAAAGUUCGGGGUGAAAUCUCCAGGCUCAACUUGGAAACUGCCCUGAAUACUUCCAUGCUAGAGGGUCGCAGAGGAGAUUGGAAUUCUCGGUGUAGCAGUGAAAUGCGUAGAUAUCGAGAGGAACAUCAGUGGCGAAAGCGAAUCUCUGGGCGGCAUCUGACGCUGAGGCACGAAAGCCAGGGGAGCAAACGGG
rnacentral:rRNA from 1 species